UACUGGGCGUAAGCGUGCGCAGGCGGUUUUGUAAGUCAGGUGUGAAAUCCCCGGGCUCAACCUGGGAACUGCAUUUGAGACUGCAAGGCUAGAGUUUGGCAGAGGGGGGUGGAAUUCCACGUGUAGCAGUGAAAUGCGUAGAGAUGUGGAGGAACACCGAUGGCGAAGGCAGCCCCCUGGGCCAAUACUGACGCUCAUGCACGAAAGCGUGGGGAGCAAACAGGAUUAGAUACCCUGGUAGUCCACGCCCUAAACGAUGUCAACUAGGUGUUGGGAGGGUUAAACCUUUUAGUGCCG
rnacentral:rRNA from 1 species